rnacentral:rRNA from 1 species
CCGUAGCCCAAGAGAUCGGGAUAACACCUGGAAACAGAUGCUAAUACCGGAUAACAACAGAUGAUGCCUAUCAACUGUUUAAAAGAUGGUUCUGCUAUCACUCUUGGAUGGACCUGCGGUGCAUUAGCUAGUUGGUAGGGUAACGGCCUACCAAGGCGAUGAUGCAUAGCCGAGUUGAGAGACUGAUCGGCCACAUUGGGACUGAGACACGGCCCAAACUCCUACGGGAGGCAGCAGUC